rnacentral:SRP_RNA from 1 species
CGAGAGGUUGGCGCGGGCAGGCGUCGCGCCAACCCGGUCAGGUCCGGAAGGAAGCAGCCGUAACGAGUUUCGGUUCGGGUCGCCGUCCAGUCUCUCACCU